rnacentral:rRNA from 1 species
GAUGAACGCUGGCGGCGUGCCUAAUACAUGCAAGUCGAGCGAACAGACGAGGAGCUUGCUCCUCUGACGUUAGCGGCGGACGGGUGAGUAACACGUGGAUAACCUACCUAUAAGACUGGGAUAACUUCGGGAAACCGGAGCUAAUACCGGAUAAUAUAUUUAACCGCAUGGUUCAAUAGUGUAAGACGGUUUUUCUUUCACUUAUAGAUGGAUCCGCGCCGCAUUAGCUAGUUGGUAAGGUAACGGCUUACCAAGGCAACGAUGCGUAGCCGACCUGAGAGGGUGAUCGGCCACACGGGAACUGAGACACGGUCCAGAGUACUACGGGAGGCAGCAGUAGGGAAUCGUCCGCAAUGGGCGAAAGCAUGACGGAGCAACGCCGCGUGAGUGAUGAAGGUCUUCGGAUCGUAAAACUCUGUUAUUAGGGAAGAACAAAUGUGUAAGUAACUAUGCACGUCUUGACGGUACCUAAUCAGAAAGCCACGGCUAACUACGUG